GACGAACGCUGGCGGCGUGCCUAAUACAUGCAAGUCGAACGCAGUGGGGACGGGUGAGUAACACGUGGGUAACCUCCCAUCAGAGGGGAUAACACUUGGAAACAGGUGCUAAACCGAUACUGAUGGAUGGACCCGCGGUGCAUUAGCUAGUUGGUGAGGUAACGGCUGACCAAGGCCACGAUGCAUAGCUGACCUGAGAGGGUGCUCGGCCACACGGGGCCUGGGACACGGCCCAGACGACUAAGGGCGGCAGGAGUAGAGAAUCGUCGGCAAUGGACGAAAUUCUGACCGAGCAACGCCGCGUGAGUGAAGAAGGUUUUCGGAUCGGAAAACUCUGUUGUUAGAGCAGCGGUAUCUAACCAGAAAGCCACGGCUAACUACGUGCCAGCCGCCGCGUUAAUAC
rnacentral:rRNA from 1 species